rnacentral:rRNA from 1 species
CCUACGGGAGGCAGCAGUGAGGAAUAUUGGUCAAUGGCCGAGAGGCUGAACCAGCCAAGUCGCGUGAGGGAAGACGGCCCUACGGGCUGUAAACCUCUUUUGUAGGGGAGCAAAGCGAACCACGUGUGGUUCAGUGAGAGUACCCGAAGAAAAAGCAUCGGCAAACACCGUGCCAGCAGCCGCGGUAAGAUGGGGGAUGCGGGCCUUAGCGGGUUUUAUUGGGUUAAAGGGGUGGGCAGGCGGAGGUGCAAGUCAGCGGUAAAAUUGCGGGGCUCAACCCCGUACUGCCGUUGAAACUGCAUCCCUUGAGUGCGCGAGAAGUAUGCGGAAUGCGUGGUGUAGCGGUGAAAUGCAUAGAUAUAACGCAGAACUCCGAUUGCGAAGGCAGCAUACCGGCGCGCAACUGACGCUCAUGCACGAAAGCGUGGGUAUCGAACAGGAUUAGAUACCCGGGUAGUC